GCCUGAAUUUUGAAAACAGUGAUAAAAGUUGCAGUGACAUCUAUCUCGAUUCAGCAGAUUCCAGUACAAAGAAAAAGAAUCUUUUAUAAAAAUUCACAGAUCCAAUGUGUGAUCAUGUGUCUGAGGUUGUGGAAUGCACAAGAUGGAACAAGAUAUAAAAAGAGACUGGAAACCAACACAAGACCAGCUGAUGAGAGGGCAGAAAACCAAAACUUUGAAUGCCAUGUAUACAACCAACACAAGACUAGA